GUGCUGCCUGCUUUCCAGUGGCUGAAUACAAUUGUUUCGUAUAUCCUGUUAAUUUGUGUUACUUGUAUACAGCAGGAUGCCAAAGGCAAUUGGAUUCUACGAAGUGAUCACGUCACAGAGAAGCUGCCGAUAGAGGUGGAGAGAGCCACACAGAGAGCCGCCUGCCUCGGCUGCCUGCUCUUCCCCUGAUUCUGCCAUGAGCCCCAUAUUCACCUACUUCACAAUCCUUUGUCUCCUGGCUGCAAGUUCUCCCGGUGAAGAAGUCACCCAGACUCCAAAACAUCUUGUCAAAGGGGAAGGACAGAAAGCAAAAUUAUAUUGUGCCCCAAUAAAAGGAUACAGUUACUUUUUUUGGUACCAACGGGUCCUGAAAAAAGAGUUCAAGUUCUUGAUUUCCUUCCAGAAUGAAAAUGUCUUUGAUGAAACAGGGAUGCCCAAGGAAAGAUUUUCUGCUAAGUGCCCCCCAAAUUCACCCUGUAGCCUUGAGAUCCAGGCUACGAAGCUGAAGGAUUCAGCAGCGUAUUUUUGUGCCAGCAGCCAAUCCACAGUGUUAAAUAUUAGCUAAUCUUAGGGCACAAACUCAUCACAGACCCAGCUCAGGAAGCAGGUGGUGUACUAGGUUGGAAGGAAAUAACAGAAACUAGAGCUAGCUUAAGCCAAAGGGGAAUGUAUUAUAAGGCUAAAUGUAUGUCCCAUAGAACCGCAAAGCAAGAACACAGGAACUUCCCAGAAAUAAACUGCAAU